GGCCUCAGACAGCAGAACACGGCAGCCUGGCAGCCCUCCCGUGGCGCUUUGCAGGGCACCUUCAUCCCCACAGAGCUGGGUUAAGUUUCUCUCCCUGGGGCAGGAACUCAGCUGCAGAGGCAGCAGGAAGGGGACAGAAGCCCGCCCCAAAGAGGGCUGGGGCAGGGGCACCCUUACGCCCGCCUGGUCUGGCCCAGUAGAGCUGGAGGGACUGUCAGUCCUAAGACAAACACUGGCCCUUUGGGGGUAUGGAAAAGUCAGGAAGCAAUCCAAGGCAGUGUGGAGGCCCAGCGAGGGGACCCCAGGAACCCAGACCAUGAGCUUAUGUGGCCAAAGACAGCAGCCAGCACCAAGACAUCAAAGAGGGCGGGUAGAAAGAUCAUCACAUCGGGAUUGACUGUGGCCGGCACCAGGUUCCUCUGUACUUCUGGAAUACACAGGCCUCUCCUUCCUAUCCCUGAAGCGCCCAUGCCCCCACCCCAGCACC
rnacentral:lncRNA from 1 species